UGGGGAAUAUUGGACAAUGGGCGCAAGCCUGAUCCAGCCAUGCCGCGUGAGUGAUGAAGGCCUUAGGGUUGUAAAGCUCUUUCACCGAUGAAGAUAAUGACGGUAGUCGGAGAAGAAGCCCCGGCUAACUUCGUGCCAGCAGCCGCGGUAAUACGAAGGGGGCUAGCGUUGUUCGGAUUUACUGGGCGUAAAGCGCACGUAGGCGGUUUGUUAAGUCAGGGGUGAAAUCCCGGAGCUCAACUCCGGAACUGCCUUUGAUACUGGCAAGCUAGAGUCCGGAAGAGGUAAGUGGAACUCCUAGUGUAGAGGUGGAAUUCGUAGAUAUUAGGAAGAACACCAGUGGCGAAGGCGGCUUACUGGUCCGGAACUGACGCUGAGGUGCGAAAGCGUGGGGAGCAAA
rnacentral:rRNA from 1 species